rnacentral:lncRNA from 1 species
AAUUUAAUUUUUUUUAUAUUUAUCGUUGUAAAAGACUAAAAGUUCAGUGAUAUCUUAUAUUUGUUCCUAUAAUUUAUUAUCGUUAAAAUACUAUUUAUUUUUAACAAAAAAAUAAAUAAAAUAAUAUUUUUGUCUCACGAAUAUGUCCCUCUAAGAGCAUUAAUUAUUAAAAUUACACAGAAAUAUUCUUCUAAAAAUAUUCAACAAUCAUCUUCAUUUUUUUUCUACUAUCACAGAUAAUAAAAGAGAGAUAAAAAGAUCAACAUGG